UGGGGAAUAUUGGACAAUGGGCGAAAGCCUGAUCCAGCCAUGCCGCGUGUGUGAAGAAGGUCUUCGGAUUGUAAAGCACUUUACGUUGGGAGGAAGGGCAUUAACCUAAUACGUUAGUGUUUUGACGUUACCGACAGAAUAAGCACCGGCUAACUCUGUGCCAGCAGCCGCGGUAAUACAGAGGGUGCAAGCGUUAAUCGGCAUUACUGGGCGUAAAGCGCGCGUAGGUGGUUUGUUAAGUUGGAUGUGAAAUCCCCGGGCUCAACCUGGGAACUGCAUUCAAAACUGACUGACUAGAGUAUGGUAGAGGGUGGUGGAAUUUCCUGUGUAGCGGUGAAAUGCGUAGAUAUAGGAAGGAACACCAGUGGCGAAGGCGACCACCUGGACUAAUACUGACACUGAGGUGCGAAAGCGUGGGGAGCAAACA
rnacentral:rRNA from 1 species